rnacentral:rRNA from 1 species
AGAUUGAACGCUGGCGGCAUGCCUUACACAUGCAAGUCGAACGCGAAAGGGGGGGCAACCCCCCGAGUAGAGUGGCGAACGGGUGUGUAAUACAUCGGAACGUAUCCAGUAGCGGGGGGAUAACCUCUCGAAAGAGAGGCUAAUACCGCAUACGACCUACGGGUGAAAGAGGGGGAUCGCAAGACCUCUCACUAUUGGAGCGGCCGAUGUCGGAUUAGCUAGUUGGCGGGUAACGGCCCACAAGGCUACGAUCCGUAGCUGGUCUGAGAGGACGACCAGCCACACUGGAACUGAGACACGGUCCAGACUCCUACGGGAGGCAGCAGUGGGGAAUUUGGACAAUGGGCGCAAGGCCUGAUCCAGCCAUGCCGCGUGAGUGAAGAAGGCCUUCGGUUGUAAAGCUCUUGGCUGGACGAGAAGGUCGUACGUUAACGACCACGGAUACCAUACGACGUACCGAGACGAAGAAGAACGACGACCGACUAACCUACGU